GUGGGUACAGCUCAAGUGGUAGAGCGCAUGCUUAGCAUGCACGAGGUCCUGGGUUCAAACCCCAGUACUUCCU
rnacentral:tRNA from 1 species